GGCCAGGACAGCAAUGAAUCCCGCCGGGCCCAUCGCGAGCGCAUAGCCAUGCAGCCAGCGCGACUCGUAAAGGAUGCCGCGCCAGCGCGCGUAGAGACUGAACAGACCGACGCCCAGCAUCAGAAAUCCGAUUCCGACCAUGGUGCGGAACGACCAGAACACCAGUCCGACCUUGGGCCAGUUCUCGCGCGGCACGGUGUCGAGGCCUUUCAGCGGCGCAUCGAGCGAAUGCUUGAGGAUCAGCGACGAUGCCUUCGGGAUUUCGAUGGAGUAUUUCACCUUCGCUUCGUCCUGAUCGGGAAUCCCGAACAGGAUCAGCGGCGCGCCGUUCGGAUGGCUCUGGAAGUGCCCUUCCAUCGCCAUCACCUUCACCGGCUGAUGCUCGAGCGUGUUGAGGCCGUGCUGGUCGCCGGCGAGAAUCUGGAUCGGGGCCACCAGUGC
rnacentral:misc_RNA from 1 species